rnacentral:rRNA from 1 species
UACGAAGGGGGCUAGCGUUGCUCGGAAUCACUGGCGUAAAGGGUGCGUAGGCGGGUCGUUUAAGUCAGGGGUGAAAUCCUGGAGCUCAACUCCAGAACUGCCUUUGAUACUGAAGAUCUUGAGUUCGGGAGAGGUGAGUGGAACUGCGAGUGUAGAGGUGAAAUUCGUAGAUAUUCGCAAGAACACCAGUGGCGAAGGCGGCUCACUGGCCCGAUACUGACGCUGAGGCACGAAAGCGUGGGGAGCAAACAGG